rnacentral:rRNA from 1 species
UACGUAGGGUGCGAGCGUUAAUCGGAAUUACUGGGCGUAAAGCGUGCGCAGGCGGUCUGUUAAGACCGAUGUGAAAUCCCCGGGGCUUAACCUGGGAACUGCAUUGGUGACUGGCAGGCUUUGAGUGUGGCAGAGGGAGGUAGAAUUCCACGUGUAGCAGUGAAAUGCGUAGAGAUGUGGAGGAAUACCGAUGGCGAAGGCAGCCUCCUGGGCCAACACUGACGCUCAUGCACGAAAGCGUGGGGAGCAAACAGG